UUGAUUAUUACAAUUUUAUUCGCCAGGGAACUACGAGCGUCAGCUUAAAACCCAAAGGACUUGGCGGUGCCCUACACCUCCUAGAGGAGCCUGUUCUAUAAUCGAUGAUCCACGAUACACCUCACCGUUUCUUGCCAAAACCGCCUAUAUACCGCCGUCUCCAACUUACCCUAUGAAGGAUUUACAGUAAGUUCAAAGAUCACUCAUCAGAACGUCAGGUCAAGGUGUAGCGAAUGAAACGGGAAGAAAUGGGCUACAUUUUCUAUUUUAGAUCACACGGACAGUCAGUAUGAAACCUGAUUAUGAAGGAGGAUUUAGCAGUAAAAAGAAAUCAGCAAGUUCUUUUUAAGUCGGACCUAGGGCGCGUACACACCG
rnacentral:rRNA from 1 species